rnacentral:rRNA from 1 species
AGUGAACGCUGGCGGUAGGCCUAACACAUGCAAGUCGAACGGCAGCACAGUAAGAGCUUGCUCUUACGGGUGGCGAGUGGCGGACGGGUGAGGCAUACAUCGGAAUCUACUUUUUCGUGGGGGAUAACGUAGGGAAACUUACGCUAAUACCGCAUACUACCUACGGGUGAAAUCAGGGGAUCUUCGCAGCUUGCGCGUUUCAAUGAGCCGAUGUCGGAUUAGCUAGUUGGCGGGGUAAAGGCCCACCAAGGCGACGAUCCGUAGCUGGUCUGAGAGGAUGAUCAGCCACACUGGAACUGAGACACGGUCCAGACUCCUACGGGAGGCAGCAGUGGGGAAUAUUGGACAAUGGGCGCAAGCCUGAUCCAGCCAUACCGCGUGGGUGAAGAAGGCCUUCGGGUUGUAAAGCCCUUUUGUUGGGAAAGAAAAGCAGCAGGUUAAUACCCCGCUGUUCUGACGGUACCCAAAGAAUAAGCACCGGCUAACUUCGUG